AUGCACGCUGGCGGCGUGCCUAAUCCAUGCCAGUCGCGCGAACAGACGAGGAGCUUGCUCCUCUGACGUUAGCGGUGGACGGGUGAGUAACACGUGGAUAACCUACCUAUAAGACUGGGAUAACUUCGGGAAACCGGAGCUAAUACCGGAUAACAUGUUGAACCGCAUGGUUCCACAGUGAAAGACGGUCUUGCUGUCACUUAUAGAUGGAUCCGCGCCGCAUUAGCUAGUUGGUAAGGUAACGGCUUACCAAGGCAACGAUGCGUAGCCGACCUGAGAGGGUGAUCGGCCACACUGGAACUGAGACACGGUCCAGACUCCUACGGGAGGCAGCAGUAGGGAAUCUUCCGCAAUGGGCGAAAGCCUGACGGAGCAACGCCGCGUGAGUGAAGAAGGUCUUCGGAUCGUAAAACUCUGUUAUUAGGGAAGAACAAAUGUGUAAGUAACUAUGCACGUCUUGACGGUACCUAAUCAGAAAGCCACGGCUAACUACGUG
rnacentral:rRNA from 1 species